CAGUUUUUUUGUUAGUCGUGUUCAAAGUCAGCAAUAGUUCUUUCCUCGUGUAAUCACAUUUUGAUCAUGAGUGAUGAGGCUUCGCAGACCAAUCCUCACGUGCUACCCGCUAGACCAAUCAGGUGUCUGCUUUUUGGAACAACAUGUAAAUAAGAAUCCAAGAUGUCGGCCCAAUUGUUAUCAACAUCGAGUAGCAAAGAAGAGGAAAUUACAGCUAGACCUCCCUCAAAAGUGCAUAAAAGGGCCCCAAAGACACUGGGUUUCAUCCCACCUGCUACAAGCAUUUCAUAGACAAAAAGCCCCCACAUGCGGCUGAGAAACAGGUCACACAGCAUGCUGAAGCUCAAGAUGCACACAGAGGCGAGUCUGUGCCACUGUGUAGUACUUCAACAAAGUGAAUGUCCAAGAAAGAAACUUAGGUCCAAGACGGGCCUGCCAGUAGCUUGUGCUGGUCCUGUGCUCCCUGCCUUGUGCAUAAUUUGUAAGAAAAGGGACAAGUACAUUACUGUGGGAGGCAAACGCCAGAAGGACCAUCUGUCACAGGCAGAAAAGUUGUCAGCAGGGCAGUUGCUGAAAGCUGCCGUGAUGAAGGAAGACACUAGAAUUCUUGUGCAUAUUUGAGACAAAGACUGUGUGUCCCUGGUGAUGCAAUACCACAAGUCCUGUUACAGACAGUACACCAAGUUCUUGACCAAGUCUACAGCAACAAUUACCGGGACCACAGAAGAAGCACAAUAUGAGGCAACCUUCAAUGCCAGCUGCAAGAUCAUCUGUGUGAGGAUCAUCUGCCAAUGUAAACCAAUGAGUGCUGACAAUGACCUAGAUAAGAAGGAUCUCCUUAAACCUUGUGAAAAAACAUGAAGAUGAUGAUAGUGAUCGGGAUGACAGUGGUGAGUAAGAGGCGCGCCGUGUUACCCGGGAGAUGGGCCGCACCAUUGCAUUCUGUGUGGUUGGACACAGGCUGCUGCAGCUCACUGAGGAGGGCAUCACAGAAGGAGACAGAGCGCUUCUGCUGGGUGAUGAUUUCAUGGGGAGGAAGAGGAGAUCUACUGCUUGAGUAUCCAAUUCUGCCAUGUGGGACGGAACCGAACCCCACCACGGAGUCUCUGGACUCUGAUUUUGAGCUGUAAUGCAUCUAUUGUAGAACUGUCCCAUUAUUCAAAAUUAAGGGGAGUGGGGUAGCAUUUUGAUAAAUUUCAGCAAUCUUGGCCCAAAGUGUGCAUUUUUUUUUCUUUCUCUGAUUACAUAGUGCCUACCGAAAAUGCAAAUUGUACUAGGCCUAUAUUUAUAAUUUUACUUGGUGCCAAUCACUGAAGUUUAAGCACAUUUUCUAAAAAUUUGCCAUAUUUCAUGUUAAAUUGACACUUGAAUGUACAAAUGCACCAACACUUGUCUCAGAUGUU